UACGGAGGGAGCUAGCGUUGUUCGGAAUUACUGGGCGUAAAGCGCGCGUAGGCGGCUUUGUAAGUUAGAGGUGAAAGCCCGGGGCUCAACCCCGGAACUGCCUUUAAGACUGCAUCGCUUGAAUCCAGGAGAGGUGAGUGGAAUUCCGAGUGUAGAGGUGAAAUUCGUAGAUAUUCGGAAGAACACCAGUGGCGAAGGCGACUUACUGGACACAUAUUGACGCUGAGGUGCGAAAGCGUGGGGAGCAAACAGG
rnacentral:rRNA from 1 species